UACGGGGGGAGCAAGCGUUGUUCGGAUUUACUGGGCGUAAAGGGCGCGUAGGCGGCGCAACAAGUCACUUGUGAAAUCUCCGGGCUUAACCCGGAGCGGCCAAGUGAUACUGUCGUGCUAAAGUGCGGAAGGGGCUACUGGAAUUCUCGGUGUAGCGGUGAAAUGCGUAGAUAUCGAGAGGAACACCUGCGGCGAAGGCGGGUAGCUGGGCCGACACUGACGCUGAGGCGCGAAAGCCAGGGGAGCGAACGGG
rnacentral:rRNA from 1 species